GGCCCCAUCUACCCCUUCCUCUAGACUGGCUCAACUCGCUAGGCCACAGCCCACUAAGCCACCCAACAACUCUCCCCUGUCCCAUUCUCUGUCCCACUAAUAGGUGGGGCCCACCUGUCAGAGCUUCCUCCUACCUCACACUGUCCCUAGCUAGAAUGGCACAACGCUGCUCGCCCCAGCCUAUCCCACUACCCUGUGCCCGAUUCCUCCGUGAAGUGGAGUGAUUCCCAUGCCAAGUUGCCCUAUAAAGGCUACCGCCACCACUGCACCCUUCCCUUCCCCUCCUAGCAUCAUCAUUCGAGCUUGUAGCACCACCAAAACCCUAAUUGUGCCCCAAGCUUGGAGCUCACGACUUCACCAUCUCUGGCCAUCUUCACCUUCCUUCUUCUCUGGUGGUGAGAUCCUCAUCCUCCCCACUCUCUCCGUGUCUUCUAGGGUCGUGUCCAUGCACACUGCUGAGCCUCCUCCGCUGACGGCCAUGUGCCUAC
rnacentral:lncRNA from 1 species